rnacentral:tRNA from 1 species
GGGGUUGUGGCUCAGUGGUAGAGCGCUCGCCUAGCAUGUGCGAGGCCCUGGGUUUGAUCCUCAGCACCA